UACGUAGGGUGCAAGCGUUGUCCGGAAUUAUUGGGCGUAAAGAGCUCGUAGGCGGUUCGUCGCGUCGGCUGUGAAAACCCGGAGCUCAACUCCGGGCCUGCAGUCGAUACGGGCGGACUUGAGUGUUGCAGGGGAGACUGGAAUUCCCGGUGUAGUGGUGAAAUGCGUAGAUAUCGGGAGGAACACCAGUGGCGAAGGCGACUACCUGGCCUGUUCUUGACGCUGAGGCGCGAAAGCUAGGGGAGCAAACGGG
rnacentral:rRNA from 1 species